CCUACGGGCGGCAGCAGUAGGGAAUAUUGCUCAAUGGGGGAAACCCUGAAGCAGCAACGCCGCGUGGAGGAUGACUGCUUUCGGAUUGUAAACUCCUUUUUUUAGAGAAGUUAAUGACUGUAUCUAACGAAUAAUCACCGUCCAACUCCGUGCCAGCAGCCGCGGUAAUAUGGAAGGUGCAAGCGUUACUCGGAAUCACUGGGCGUAAAGAGGGCGUAGGCGGUUUAGCAAGUCAGUCGUGAAAUCCUAUGGCGUAACCAUAGAACUGCAUCUGAAACUGUUAUUCUAGAGUAUGGGAAAGGUAGGUGGAAUUCGUGGUGUAGGGGUAAAAUCCGUAGAGAUCAAGAAGAAUACUGAUUGCGAAGGCGACCUGCUAGAACAUAACUGACGCUGAUGCGCGAAAGCGUGGGGAGCAAACAGGAUUAGAUACCCGAGUAGUC
rnacentral:rRNA from 1 species